rnacentral:rRNA from 1 species
CAGUCGCCGCGGUAAUACGUAGGUGGCGAGCGUUGUCCGGAAUUAUUGGGCGUAAAGGGCUCGCAGGCGGUUUCUUAAGUCUGAUGUGAAAGCCCCCGGCUCAACCGGGGAGGGUCAUUGGAAACUGGGAAACUUGAGUGCAGAAGAGGAGAGUGGAAUUCCACGUGUAGCGGUGAAAUGCGUAGAGAUGUGGAGGAACACCAGUGGCGAAGGCGACUCUCUGGUCUGUAACUGACGCUGAGGAGCGAAAGCGUGGGGAGCGAACAGGAUUAGAUACCCCAGUAGUCCCUGUCUCUUAUAC